rnacentral:snoRNA from 1 species
UAUUGCAAUGAUGAUAGAUGUGAAUCCCAGCUCAUUAUGAGACCUUUUGUGGUCUGGGAAUAUACUUUGUCCACAUAUAUCUGAGCCCAGAU